rnacentral:rRNA from 1 species
UCGGGAAUUUUGGGCAAUGGGCGAAAGCCUGACCCAGCAACGCCGCGUGAAGGAUGAAGUCUCUCGGGAUGUAAACUUCGUAAGAAUAGGAAGAAUAAAUGACGGUACUAUUUGUAAGGUCCGGCUAACUACGUGCCAGCAGCCGCGGUAAUACGUAGGGACCAAGCGUUGUUCGGAUUUACUGGGCGUAAAGGGCGCGUAGGCGGCAAUUCAAGUCAGUUGUGAAAUCUCCGAGCUUAACUCGGAACGGUCAACUGAUACUGCUUUGCUAGAGUACAGAAGGGGCAAUCGGAAUUCUUGAUGUAGCGGUGAAAUGCGUAGAUAUCAAGAGGAACACCUGAGGUGAAGACGGGUUGCUGGGCUGAUACUGACGCUGAGGCGCGAAAGCUAGGGUAGCAAACGGGAUUAGAUACCCCGGUAGUCCUAGCCCUAAACGAUGAAUACUUGGUGUCUGGAGUUUUUAUUCUCUGGGUGCCGUCGCUAACGUUUUAAGUAUUCCGCCUGGGGAGUACGCACGCAAGUGUGAAACUCAAAGGAAUUGACGG